CUCACCUGGGACAGGGACGGGAAGGGCCGUGGGAGGGAGGGAUCCAGGCGAGGGGCCGGUCCCAGUGACCCAAGGGUUGCUUGGUGGAAGGGUGGGAGUCGGUGUUUACGGGGUCCCCGCUCACACCAUCCCAUUCCUCAUUCUACCUGUGUUUCGCCACCCGCAGCCAGAGCCAGGGCUCCACACUGAGCUCCUGGGAUAGGGAAGAGGAUGGAAGGCACGUGGAGAGGAGAAAUGUUUCCCUGGCUGGCCCACAACACGAGACCAGGUUGGAUCUGGGAGCGAAGGCAACGCUGGAGCGGCGUGGAAAAGGCUCACCUCGCGACAGAGGGGGAACUGCAGGAAAAGCCUCCCUGUGCCCCCAGGAAGGCAAUUCCUGCCCCACUUCUGAGCUCUGGCUGCUCCCUGUGCAGGGAAAGGGGCUGAGGACACCCACCUUCCUGGGACACCAGCUCCCACCAGCACAGGGGUGAAAAGCAGCAGGAACCUGAUGUCUUAGGAAAAUCCCUGGAGAAGAGCCAGACAGGAUUUCAUGGAAGGAGCAGAGGACUGGGAAGGAAUUCUGAGCCCUGCCCACAGCCUUCCCAACACAGGGAGUACAGUUAAUAAAUCAGAGCCUCGAUGUGGAGAUGAAUUAAUCGGGCUGCCAGGAAAGGAUGGAAUGAAGGCUCAAAUGAACACCAGCAAACAAAUGCUCCUGUCAGACUGCAGGAAGUGUCCUGGCAUUGAGGUGCCCAUUGGGACAGGGCCAAAAUCCAGAUGGAGGUCUGAAGCUGCUGCCAGUGAAGGGGCUGGAAUUUGCCAUUGCUGGGAAGAGCUCUCAGGAGAAAUCAUCCAGCAUAGACAAGAUGCAGGUGAGGAUUCGGAAGCGUUGGGCCACAAAAACAACAGGAGGAGCUGGGACUGUACCUGUGGGAGACGAUGGUGGGGGGCAGCUGCUUGUGAUCCCCGGCCAGGAUGCACUUGGGAGCCUUCAGCAGAGGGAUCCAGCAACUGGCUUCCAGGGCCUGAGCACACUCAUCAAUCACCACCAGGUCGAAGUGGUUUUCGGGCAGCAGCUUCAGCGGGCCGUCGGAGGAGGCACCUGAUGGAAGCAGAAGAAGCUUCCAAGACUCUUUGGAAAACAGCAGCCAAAGAGAACGAGAUCCUGGAAUGCUUCACCCAGAGCAGAGCAGUGAACACCCACCUUCCUGCUGCCCCCCCAGUGCAAACAGAACUCCUCAUCACCAACACUGGAAGGGUGAGGGACUGCAGCUCCACCAGUCUGAGAAGUGGGGGACAGCCCAGGACGGAGAGACGGGCUGAGCCCCCACUCCUCUGCCCUGCUGACCCCCUGGCUGUGCCACUCUGUCCUUCCUCAUGGCACUGGGAGAAGGGAAAGCACAGGACAAGUAACCAGGCCACCACAGCAAGGGCUAAUUUUUAGUAUCAGAAGCCCGUUUGUAACAUCAAACAAAUAACCCUGGCACACAACCUGCUCUAAGCCAGACCUACCUGAUACCGAUCCACGCAUUGAUCAGAAAUCUGGAUGUCAGGGGCAUCAAAAUCUCACCCAAAUCAUAAGGAAAAAGAAUGCAAAAGGAGGAGAGCAGGGUUAAGAAGCCAGCAAGCCAGGAGAGAAGAUUUUUAUUCACAGAGGUGUUUUUUUUCCCAAAGCUCCUGUGCUAUUCUUCCUGCUUUCCUCCUUUGAAAGCAGCUCUGAGAGGGGGGAUUUGGCUUUGCCACCAUAAAUCCUGCUGCCUCUGCACCUCUGCAUCACUUCAGAUCUUACAGCUUGUCAUCUAAGACACCCUGUUUUCCUUUAAAAGCUGUUUUUCCAGCCUAUAUGAAUCCACUCUGGUAAGAGGGGCACAGUUAUAACCUGACUUAUGCCUUUGGCCACGCCGAGGGUGGAAGGAGAAGAAAUGGAAGUUUCCUCCUGUCUAAACCAGCCUGUACCAGCAUGGCCUGGUUUUCUUCCCUCCCAGCCAUGGGUUUAUUAAACUGCCAUUAAUUAAAGGCCACUCAUGUCCCCGAGUGCUGCCAUGAUUAGAUUUUCUCUGGGCUGAAGCCACCGGCAGAGCACUUGGGCUGCAGAAUUCCCCCCAAUCCCACGGGUCCAGAGAAAUCCCACCACUGCUUAACAAAAUCCAACCCCUUGGUUCGCCCACCAGCUCUCUCUGAAGCAGAAUUCCAGACCCCCCAGCUGGGAAGCCCCAGCCCCAGGAGAAAAAUCACAGCUGAUCCCCCGAAAAUACCAGUUUUGCUGGAAAAAAAGGAAACCUCCCCGUUUUCCAGGCAAGGUUAAAAGAAGGGAGAGGCCAAAUCCUAGAGAAUAAAGGGAAUACUUAUCUUUCCUUUAACCUUCACCCCAGUAACUUGCCCCAUGAGUUCUUUUUUAUGACCUAAAAUUACUGAUGUUUCCCUUCAGGAAAUGAUCCCUGAGCAAUUAAAUCUGAAGAUUAUAAGUGGAGUAUUAAACAUCUGAGCUAGAAAAGCCCUUUAACAUGUGUUAAACUUUAACCACUCACAUCCCCCUCGACUGCAGGGGUAUUACCUUCCUACCUGUAGAUGCAGAUGCCUGAUGGAUACCUGGAUCUGCUCCCUAAAUCCUGUGUCACACCACACUUUUUCUUGUUUUGUUUUUAAUAAGUAAUUAAUAAAUUAAAAGUGAAUAUACGAAAUUUAUAUUAAAAUUAAUAUAUAAGAAUAUUAUAUAUAUAAAAAUAUAAACAUAUAUUAUAUAUUAUGCAACAUAUAACA